rnacentral:rRNA from 1 species
GACGAACGCUGGCGGCGUGCUUAACACAUGCAAGUCGAACGGAAAGGCCCUGCUUUUGUGGGGUGCUCGAGUGGCGAACGGGUGAGUAACACGUGAGUAACCUGCCCUUUACUUUGGGAUAACUUCAGGAAACUGGGGCUAAUACCGGAUAGGAGCUCCUGCUGCAUGGUGGGGGUUGGAAAGUUUCGGCGGUUGGGGAUGGACUCGCGGCUUAUCAGCUUGUUGGUGGGGUAGUGGCUUACCAAGGCUUUGACGGGUAGCCGGCCUGAGAGGGUGACCGGCCACAUUGGGACUGAGAUACGGCACAGACUCCUACGGGAGGCAGCAGUGGGGAAUAUUGCACAAUGGGCGGAAGCCUGAUGCAGCAACGCCGCGUGCGGGAUGACGGCCUUCGGGUUGUAAACCGCUUUCGCCUGUGACGAAGCGUGAGUGACGGUAAUGGGUAAAGAAGCACCGGCUAACUACGUG